rnacentral:rRNA from 1 species
AACGAACGCUGGCGGCAGGCUUAACACAUGCAAGUCGAACGGGUGUCGCAAGACAUCAGUGGCAGACGGGUGAGUAACACGUGGGAACCUUCCUAGGGGUACGGAACAACUCAGGGAAACUUGAGCUAAUACCGUAUACGUCCGUAAGGAGAAAGAUUCAUCGCCCCUAGACGGGCCCGCGUCGGAUUAGCUAGUUGGUGGGGUAACGGCCUACCAAGGCGACGAUCCGUAGCUGAUCUGAGAGGAUGAUCAGCCACACUGGGACUGAGACACGGCCCAGACUCCUACGGGAGGCAGCAGGUGGGGAAUCUUGGACGAAUGGGCGCAAGCCUGAUCCAGCCAUGCCGCGUGAGUGAAGAAGG